rnacentral:rRNA from 1 species
CGGUGCAUUAGUUAGUUGGUGAGGUAAAGGCUCACCAAGACCGUGAUGCAUAGCCGACCUGAGAGGGUAAUCGGCCACACUGGGACUGAGACACGGCCCAGACUCCUACGGGAGGCAGCAGUAGGGAAUCUUCCACAAUGGACGAAAGUCUGAUGGAGCAACGCCGCGUGAGUGAAGAAGGUUUUCGGAUCGUAAAACUCUGUUGUUGGAGAAGAACGUAUUUGAUAGUAACUGAUCAGGUAGUGACGGUAUCCAACCAGAAAGCCACGGCUAACUACGUGCCAGCAGCCGCGGUAAUACGUAGGUGGCAAGCGUUGUCCGGAUUUAUUGGGCGUAAAGCGAGCGCAGGCGGUUUCUUAAGUCUGAUGUGAAAGCCUUCGGCUCAACCGAAGAAGUGCAUCGGAAACUGGGAAACUUGAGUGCAGAAGAGGACAGUGGAACUCCAUGUGUAGCGGUGAAAUGCGUAGAUAUAUGGAAGAACACCAGUGGCGAAGGCGGCUGUCUGGUCUGUAACUGACGCUGAGGCUCGAAAGCAUGGGUAGCAAACAGGAUUAGAUACCCUGGUAGUCCAUGCCGUAAACGAUGAGUGCUAGGUGUUGGAGGGUUUCCGCCCUUCAGUGCCGCAGCUAACGCAUUAAGCACUCCGCCUGGGGAGUACGACCGCAAGGUUGAAACUCAGAGGAAUUGACGGGCGCCCGCACAAGCGGUGGAGCAUGUGGUUUAAUUCGAAGCAACGCGAAGAACCUUACCAGGUCUUGACAUCCUUUGACCACUCUAGAGAUAGAGCUUUCCCUUCGGGGACAAAGUGACAGGUGGUGCAUGGUUGUCGUCAGCUCGUGUCGUGAGAUGUUGGGUUAAGUCCCGCAACGAGCGCACCCUUAUUACUAGUUGCCAGCAUUUAGUGGGCACU